UCCGGUUUGACACCGGCAGUCCCGCCAGAGUGCCCAGCUUGACCUGAUGGCAACUGACGACAGGGGUUUCGCUCGUUAGGGGACUUAACCCAACACCUCAAGGCACGAGCUGACGACAGCCAUGCAACACCUGUGCUGGUUACACCCGAAGGCAAUCCCUCGGCUUUCACCGAGUUAAUCCCAGCAUGUCAAGCCCUGGUAAGGUUCUUCGCGUUGCUUCGAAUUGAGCAACAUCCUCCACCGCUUGUGUGAGCCCCCGUCAAUUCCUUUGAGUUUUAGCCUUGCGGCCGUACUCCCCAGGCGGGGUGCUUAAUGCGUUAGCUGCGGCACCGAAGGAAACCCCCCGACACCUAGUGCCCAUCGUUUACGGCGUGGACUAC
rnacentral:misc_RNA from 1 species